UACAGAGGUCUCAAGCGUUGUUCGGAUUCAUUGGGCGUAAAGGGCGCGUAGGCUGCUGGGCAAGUCGGGUGUGAAAUCUCAGAGCUCAACUCUGAAACUGCACUCGAUACUGCUUUGCUUGAGGACUGGAGAGGAGAUUGGAAUUCACGGUGUAGCAGUGAAAUGCGUAGAUAUCGGGAGGAAGACCAGUGGCGAAGGCGGAUCUCUGGACAGCUCCUGACGCUGAGGCGCGAAGGCUAGGGGAGCAAACGGG
rnacentral:rRNA from 1 species